rnacentral:rRNA from 1 species
CAAGCGCACCCUUCGGGGCGAGCGGCGGACGGGUUAGUAACGCGUGGGAACGUACCCUUGUCUACGGAAUAGCCUUUGGAAACGAAGAGUAAUACCGUAUACGCCCUUCGGGGGAAAGAUUUAUCGGACAAGGAUCGGCCCGCGUUAGAUUAGAUAGUUGGUGGGGUAAUGGCCUACCAAGUCUACGAUCUAUAGCUGGUUUUAGAGGAUGAUCAGCAACACUGGGACUGAGACACGGCCCAG